rnacentral:misc_RNA from 1 species
GAUAGAGAAGAACAAGCAAACUGGGUACUCAUCGAUUCCUUAGUUUUUUCCCCCUUUACGUAUAUGGGAAAAUUUCUGAAUUGUAACGAAAGUCUUAUCAUAUUCCUUCUCUUUAUGCACUUUAAUGCGUGUGCCUGCAAAUCUUUAAUUUCAAUGAUAUAAAUAUGAAGUUUUGCUUUUGUAGAUGGGAUACUCCUAUCCAUGUU